rnacentral:rRNA from 1 species
UUUGGCCUACGGGAGGCAGCAGUGGGGAAUAUUGCACAAUGGGGGAAACCCUGAUGCAGCGACGCCGCGUGAAGGAAGAAGUAUCUCGGUAUGUAAACUUCUAUCAGCAGGGAAGACAAUGACGGUACCUGACUAAGAAGCCCCGGCUAACUACGUGCCAGCAGCCGCGGUAAUACGUAGGGGGCAAGCGUUAUCCGGAUUUACUGGGUGUAAAGGGAGCGUAGACGGAUCUGCAAGUCUGGAGUGAAAGCCCGGGGCUCAACCCCGGGACUGCUUUGG